rnacentral:rRNA from 1 species
UGCCUCUUGAACCAAUAUAAGAGGUAAAUUCUGCCCGGUGAUUUUUUAACGGCCGCGGUAUCCUGACCGUGCGAAGGUAGCAUAAUCAUUUGCCUUUUAAUUAAAGGCUAGAAUGAACGAAUAAACGAAGAGCUUACUGUCUCAUAUCCAACCACAAAAAUUUACUUUUAGGUGAAGAGGCCUAAAUAAAUAUAAAAGACAAGAAGACCCUAUCAAGCUUCAUUUUUACAUUAAAUCUCAAUCAAAAAAAUUUAGUUGGGGCGACAAAAAAUAAUACAAAUCAUUUUUUAUUAUAAGAGAAAUAACUCACAAUUCUUUAACUCUAAUAAAAUAAAAGAAAGCUACUGUAGGGAUAACAGGCUAAUAUUUCUCAAGAGUCCUUAUCAACAGAAAUGAUUGGCACCUCGAUGUUGGCUUUGGAGACCAGACUUAUGCAGAAGUAAGUCAUGGUGGUUUGUUCAACCAUUAAACUCCU